UUGUAAGUAUAACAUUACAGUGACUGCAACUACCGAUGCGGGCAGCUCAUCCUCUUUAACAGUAACAGGACAGACUGCUGAAGCUCUGCCUGGUAGUAUUCGCCGCUUGAGUCUAAAAUCAGAGGAUGAUGUUACUAAAGAGAGAUCUGUAGAGGUAACAUGGAUUCCACCAAAAGAAAGGGAUAGAAAUGGAAUCAUCCAGAGAUAUUAUAUCGAAUUCAAAAGCAAUGAUGGUAAAACAGUCAGUUUUGGCACAAACAAUAUUACGACUAACUAUUUUUAUCAAGGCAUGUUUCCUGGUGUGUACUCUGUCAAGGUU